GAAUGCUGACAUAAGUAACGAUAAAGCGGGUGAAAAGCCCGCUCGCCGGAAGACCAAGGGUUCCUGUCCAACGUUAAUCGGGGCAGGGUGAGUCGACCCCUAAGGCGAGGCCGAAAGGCGUAGUCGAUGGGAAACGGGUUAAUAUUCCCGUACUUGGUGUUACUGCGAAGGGGGGACGGAGAAGGCUAUGUUGGCCGGGCGACGGUUGUCCCGGUUUAAGCGUGUAGGUGUGUGUUCCAGGUAAAUCCGGUUCACUUUAACACUGAGGCGUGACGACGAGGCACUACGGUGCUGAAGCAACAAAUGCCCUGCUUCCAGGAAAAGCCUCUAAGCAUCAGGUAACAUCAAAUCGUACCCCAAACCGACACAGGUGGUCAGGUAGAGAAUACCAAGGCGCUUGAGAGAACUCGGGUGAAGGAACUAGGCAAAAUGGUGCCGUAACUUCGGGAGAAGGCACGCUGACACGUAGGUGAAGUGAUUUACUCAUGGAGCUGAAGUCAGUCGAAGAUACCAGCUGGCUGCAACUGUUUAUUAAAAACACA
rnacentral:rRNA from 2 species